rnacentral:lncRNA from 1 species
CAGCAUGGGCUCGAGCCGCCAGGGCCGCUCACCCGGCAGCGAGGGCGGGGCCUCGGCUGCCCAACGGCUUCGGUCGCCGUGACGUCAGCACGCCGCGUGCGUCCGGAGGGAGGGGGAGCGGAGGGCGCGGCUGGAGGAAGGACGUUUGUGGUUGGCGGACUCAGCCCCGGCCGGGAAGUUCGAACGGACGUGGAAGAGCCCGCAGGUUGGGCCCAUGCACAGCAGCAGCUGCUCAGGGUCAGAGUUUCCUCGGGUUCUGUAUAAAAGCUUUGAGCAAAUGCUAAAUAUCUCAAAGUAGGCUUAGUAUCUCUAAGAUAAUUGAGGCCUUUGAGAAAUACAAAAGAAGAACCGAAGAGCAAAGAAACAAGCUGAAGUAAGGAGAGCGCCCCACUCCCCAGUCCAAGAUUUCUGCUGCCCUACAGGAGACAUGUUCUUGGGAAAGCAGCAUCUCUCUCAAUUCGUCGUUAAAGUUACCUGGAUUUAUAGGAAGCACCAAACAUAGCUUCUCAAAUGUAAACAAACUGUAGAGAUGGCUGACUAUCUGGACAGCCCCCUAAUUCCUCAAAUCAUUGGAGCAUCAGUCUUCAGCUUUCUGGCCCAGGUUCAUCUGACAAACCUUUGCAAAGCAGGAUUAUGAAUGGCUGUUUACCUUGCCUUGGCAGAGCUAACAGUCGACUAUUCUACAUAAUGUGUCCGUUUAUGUUUUGUCUGCAGAUGAAAUAGGCAAUUUCUGCCCAGUGACUUCCUUGCUACGAUAAACAACCUCGCCUGGAGGUGAAGAUGCUCAGUUUCUUCUUUGAACCAAGAAGGCGGUGCUGUCAGGAGCAGACAUGUCUCAUUGUCAAAUGAUGAAAUAACAUUAAAUGUAACAUUUUGUGGAUUUCUGAUGCUUUUGAAGACUCUAUAUAUGAGC